rnacentral:ncRNA from 1 species
UCCCGCUCCGCGAAAAGUCGCCGACUGUGGCGGCCUGCCCCCUUCACCAGUGAAGGAUCGGGCUAGCGGGGCGGGUUCUG